rnacentral:rRNA from 1 species
AAACCGCGAAUGGCUCAUUAAAUCAGUUAUGGUUCCUUAGAUCGUACCAUCCUACUUGGAUAACUGUGGUAAUUCUAGAGCUAAUACAUGCCGACCAGCUCCGACCUUCGGGGACGAGCGCUUUUAUUAGAACAAGACCAAUACGGAUCCGCAAGGGUCCGUUCCCGUUUGGUGACUCUGGAUAACUUGGAGCCGAUCGCACGGUCUUCGCACCGGCGACGCAUCUUUCAAAUGUCUGCCUUAUCAACUGUCGAUGGUAGGUUAUGUGCCUACCAUGGUUUUUACGGGUAACGGGGAAUCAGGGUUCGAUUCCGGAGAGGGAGCCUGAGAAACGGCUACCACAUCCAAGGAAGGCAGCAGGCACGAAAAUUACCCACUCCCGGCACGGGGAGGUAGUGACGAAAAAUAACAAUACGAGACUCUUCCGAGGCCUCGUAAUUGGAAUGAGUACACUUUAAAUCCUUUAACGAGGAUCUAUUGGAGGGCAAGUCUGGUGCCAGCAGCCGCGGUAAUUCCAGCUCCAAUAGCGUAUAUUAAAGUUGUUGCGGUUAAAAAGCUCGUAGUUGGAUCUCGGUGCCGGACCGCGGUCCCUCGUGCGGUCUCACUGCCGGCCCCGGAGCCAUCCCGCCGGCCGUCCACUCGGUGCUCUUCGCUGAGUGUCUUGGGUGACCGGAACGUUUACUUUGAACAAAUUAGAGUGCUCCAAGCAGGCCGUCCCGCCCGCAUAGCCCAGCAUGGAAUAAUGGAAUAGGACCUCGGUUCUAUUUUGUUGGUUUUCGGAACCCGAGGUAAUGAUUAAUAGGGACAGACGGGGGCAUUCGUAUUGCGACGCUAGAGGUGAAAUUCUUGGACCGUCGCAAGACGAACUACUGCGAAAGCAUUUGCCAAGAAUGUUUUCAUUAAUCAAGAACGAAAGUUAGAGGUUCGAAGGCGAUCAGAUACCGCCCUAGUUCUAACCAUAAACGAUGCCGACCAGCGAUCCGCCGGAGUUCCUCCGAUGACUCGGCGGGCAGCUUCCGGGAAACCAAAGUGUUUGGGUUCCGGGGGAAGUAU